rnacentral:lncRNA from 1 species
AAAAAAGAAGUCAUCAUAAAGACCACUCAGAUAGUGAAUCUACAUCGUCAGAUAAUUCUGGGAGGAGGAGGAAAGGACCCUUUAAAACCAUAAAGUUUGGGACCAAUAUUGACCUAUCUGAUGACAAAAAGUGGAAGUUGCAGCUACAUGAGCUGACUAAACUUCCUGCUUUUGUGCGUGUCGUAUCAGCAGGAAAUCUUCUAAGCCAUGUUGGUCAUACCAUAUUGGGCAUGAACACAGUUCAACUAUACAUGAAAGUUCCAGGGAGCAGAACACCAGGUCAUCAGGAAAAUAACAACUUCUGUUCAGUUAACAUAAAUAUUGGCCCAGGUGACUGUGAAUGGUUUGUUGUUCCUGAAGGUUACUGGGGUGUUCUGAAUGACUUCUGUGAAAAGUAGGUUUCCAAAGUAAAUUUUCUUAAAACAUAUAUUAGAAAGCAGUAAUUGUAAACGACAACUUACCAAGCUGGAUCUCCUAAUGGAUACAUUGCCAGUAUUCACUUACCAUUCAGCGAAGAAUUCAUUUUAAAUUAUUUGAUUCCAAACCUCAUAUUUUGUGUUAUUGGAAAUACUUUAAGAAAGAUGCCAUGAAACAACUUCAUGCAGUAGUAGUACCCAUGAAUUAAGAAGAUAGAAAAGUU